rnacentral:misc_RNA from 1 species
GAUGAAGAACGUAGCAAAAUGCGAUAAGUAAUGUGAAUUGCAGAAUUCAGUGAAUCAUCGAAUCUUUGAACGCACCUUGCACCCUUUGGCAUUCCGAAGGGUAUGCUCGUUUGAGUGUCAUUGUACUCUCACACUCUCCGAUCCUAUGGAUUCGGGGAGCGGUGGACUUGGGUGUUGCUGCCUUUCCCUGUGGCUCACCUCAAAUGCGUCAGUGCACCUCUUGGUUGGACAUAGUACGGCGUGAUAAGUGUCUUCGCCGGCACCUCGCAAGAGGGUGGCCGAUCGGGAGCUCUGCGCUUUCAAACCGUCUUCGGACAAUUUCUGACAUCUUGACCUCAAAUCGAGUAGGACUACCCGCUGAACUUAAGCAUAUCAAUAAGCGGAGGA